rnacentral:rRNA from 1 species
CACGUAGGGGGCAAGCGUUGUCCGGAUUUAUUGGGCGUAAAGAGCUCGUAGGCGGCUCAGUAAGUCAGGUGUGAAACCUCCAGGCUCAACCUGGAGACGCCACCUGAUACUGCUGUGGCUAGAGUCCGGUAGGGGAGCGUGGAAUUCCUGGUGUAGCGGUGAAAUGCGCAGAUAUCAGGAGGAACACCAGCGGCGAAGGCGGCGCUCUGGGCCGGAACUGACGCUGAGGAGCGAAAGCAUGGGGAGCGAACAGG